UAUCUAUUUCACAAAAGGAGCUGUUUUGGAAAUAACUCAGCAAAAGGAGGUUUACUUAGUAAAUUAAUUAAUCAAAAGCGACCAUCUUUGAUCAAUCUUUACAAAUAAGGGUUGUUUUGGCAUUACUCAAUAUUUGUAGGGGAUGAAUCGGCGAAUAGGAUUUUUUUUUUUUUUUUAAAAAAAAGAAUUAGCGCUUUUGUGCCCUCGUCUGAUAAAUCCAACGAAAUGGAACAUGAAUGAAAGCGAACAGUUACACAAACGAAGCACACAAGCGCCUCCGAUGAUUCAUCUGCCGAGAAGGAAAUAGAACGGGGGCAGCUUAUGUUCCCGGCAACGGGAAAAGGGACCUCCGGUCCUUGGUUUCCUCUGGUCGAGAAGGCAAAUCACGAACGAAGCAGUGACAGGGAAGCCUCGGUGGUGAAAGACCCGUUGAGAAGAAGAGCACCUCCGGUUCCUUAUUGGUUUGUAGAGGGUGAGUAACGAAAGCAGCAAGGGCUGCUUAAGCAGCUCCUGCGCUUCUUCUGUCUCGGAAGAAAGGUGCGAAGGUGGGGAAUCAAUAGGGGGCUUCCAGUCUCCGAUGUUUGCUCCGGGGAAACACCCACUUCGGUCGUUUUGCUCUAGGUGGUUGAAAGGGGUGUUUGUGAGAUUGGCACUCGACAGAAGUAGUAUGAGGAGGAGAAGUAUCAUGGCGGCCGGCAGCCUCUUCUUUUGGCCGGUGGUAAACAGGGGGGAAAGAAGGAGGGCAACGUUGUAGCCAUCGAACAAGAGGGGGUAGAAGAGAGGCUGUCGCCUCCUUGUUUUCACCGGGAAUCAACACACCUCCGGUGUGUUUCUGAACAGCCAAUGUAAGAAAAAAAAAAAAAAAGAGAGAGGGGUCGAGAGUUUUUGUGGGAGUAAAGUAAGAAUGAUUAAUUUCUGUAAUAUGUGAUCUUCACUCAGAUUUUGGAAGACUUUUUGAUGGAUUUGUGGUACUAGGAAAAUUUUGAAAGGAUUUUGAGAAUACAAUAUAUUCAUUGAUUCAUGUGUGUAUAA